GUCCCUGUAGCGCAAUGGGUAGCGUGUUGGACAUAUAAUCCAAAGGUCGUGGGCUCGAAUCCCACCUGUGGUG